rnacentral:rRNA from 1 species
UGCCAGACUCCUACGGGAGGCAGCAGUGGGGAAUAUUGCACAAUGGGGGAAACCCUGAUGCAGCGACGCCGCGUGAGUGAAGAAGUAUUUCGGUAUGUAAAGCUCUAUCAGCAGGGAAGAAAAUGACGGUACCUGACUAAGAAGCCCCGGCUAACUACGUGCCAGCAGCCGCGGUAAUACGUAGGGGGCAAGCGUUAUCCGGAUUUACUGGGUGUAAAGGGAGCGUAGACGGCAUGGCAAGUCAGAUGUGAAAGCCCGGGGCCCAACCCCGGGACUGCAUUUGAAACUGUCAGGCUGGAGUGCAGGAGAGGUAAGUGGAAUUCCUAGUGUAGCGGUGAAAUGCGUAGAUAUCAGGAGGAACACCGGUGGCGAAGGCGGCCUGCUGGACUGCGACUGACGUUGAGGCCCGAAAGCGUGGGGAGCAAACAGGAUUAGAUACCCUAGUACA